AAAGGGCCGCGGUAAUUUGACUGUGCAAAGGUAGCAUAAUCAUUAGCUUUUUAAUUGAAAGCUGGAAUGAACGGCUAGAUGAGAAAUAUACUGUCUUUUUAUAUCUAAUGGAAAUUAACUUUUAAGUGAAAAGGCUUAAAUUUUUUGGGGGGACGAUAAGACCCUAUAAAACUUAAUAUUAAUUUAGUUAGAAUUAAAAGUUAAGUUUAACUUAUUUAAUCAAAUUUAAUAUUUUGUUGGGGAGACAUAGAUAUAAUUUUGUAACUGUCUAUUAAAAAUUUUAUAUUUAUAAUUACUUCACGAUCCUCUAUUAGAGAUUAAAAGACUAAGUUACUUUAGGGAUAACAGCGUAAUUUCCUUUGAGAGUUCCUAUCGACAAGGAGAGUUGCGACCUCGAUGUUGAAUUAAGGUUUCAGAAAGGUGUAGUCGUUUUUCUAGUAGGUCUGUUCGACCUUUAAAAUCUUACAUGAUUU
rnacentral:rRNA from 1 species